rnacentral:rRNA from 1 species
UACGUAGGGGGCAAGCGUUGUCCGGAUUUAUUGGGCGUAAAGAGCUCGUAGGCGGUUUGGUAAGUCUGGUGUGAAAAUCUCCACGCUCAACGUGGAGGGGCCACCCGAUACUGCCAUGACUGGAGUCCGGUAGAGGGAGUGUGGAAUUCCCGGGUGUAGCGGUGAAAUGCGCAGAUAUCGGGAGGAACACCCGUAGCGAAGGCGGCACUCUGGGCCGGUACUGACGCUGAGGAGCGAAAGCGUGGGGAGCAAACAGG